rnacentral:rRNA from 1 species
GACGAACCGUGCGAACGUUAUUCGGAAUCACUGGGCUUAAAGCGCGUGUAGGCGGGCCGGCACGUCGGUCGCUGAAAGCCCCCGGCUCAACCGGGGAAGCGGCGCCGAUACGACCGGCCUGGAGGGGGGUAGGGGGCGCCGGAACGGCCGGUGGGAGCGGUGAAAUGCGUUGAGAUCGGCCGGAACGCCCGUGGCGAAAGCGGGCGCCUGGACCCCGCCUGACGCUGAGACGCGAAAGCCAGGGGAGCGAACGGG